rnacentral:rRNA from 1 species
UGGGGAAUAUUGCACAAUGGGCGCAAGCCUGAUGCAGCAACGCCGCGUGAACGAUGAAGGUCUUCGGAUCGUAAAGUUCUGUUGCAGGGGAAGAUAAUGACGGUACCCUGUGAGGAAGCCCCGGCUAACUACGUGCCAGCAGCCGCGGUAAUACGUAGGGGGCUAGCGUUAUCCGGAUUUACUGGGCGUAAAGGGUGCGUAGGUGGUCUUUCAAGUCGGUGGUUAAAGGCUACGGCUCAACCGUAGUUAGCCUCCGAAACUGGAAGACUUGAGUGCAGGAGAGGAAAGUGGAAUUCCCAGUGUAGCAGUGAAAUGCGUAGAUAUUGGGAGGAACACCAGUAGCGAAGGCGGCUUUCUGGACUGCAACUGACACUGAGGCACGAAAGCGUGGGUAGCAAACAGG